rnacentral:rRNA from 1 species
UACGUAGGGUGCGAGCGUUGUCCGGGAUUAUUGGGCGUAAAGAGCUUGUAGGCGGUCUGUCGCGUCUGCUGUGAAAAUCCGGGGCUCAACCCCGGACUUGCAGUGGGUACGGGCAGACUAGAGUGUGGUAGGGGAGACUGGAAUUCCUGGUGUAGCGGUGAAAUGCGCAGAUAUCAGGAGGAACACCGAUGGCGAAGGCAGGUCUCUGGGCCACUACUGACGCUGAGAAACGAAAGCAUGGGGAGCGAACA